GCUAAAAAUCUAGCUUAACUACAGAAUUAAAUUUAAUAACAGUAAAAAUUUUA
rnacentral:rRNA from 1 species